UGACUCCGUGCCACUCGAACCUUUGCGUGCAUUACUGGUGCUGCUGCUAUUGGCUUUGUUGUGAGCUUCGUUUCCUUUCGCUCGCAGACACGUCUGUCAGCUCCAGUGACACCGCCUACCGGCACUUGCGCUUGCAAGCACAUACCCGCAAUCUUGCAGCUGUAGGGAAGGGGAAGAAUGCAGCCGGUGCAGUCCAAUCCGAGCCUCAUGGGGCUGACGCAGUCGGAAGCGGUCGUCCUGUCCGAGAAGCUUUAUCACAUCAGCAACGAAGGGUUCAUGUACUGCACAAAGAAGUGCAUUACGCACUACGGCGAUGACGCCAUCCCGUACCAUCCCGGCGAGAAGGCGUGCCUCGAUCGCUGCAUCAGCAAGGUCCGCAACGGCAUGUACAUGGCGAUCGAUCAUAAGAAGGAGUUCGAGCAGAAGUUGCGCAGCGGAGACCUGCCGUAUCAGUGGAUGAAAGACGCAGCAGCGGGUAACAUGUGACGUCUGCCACUAAGGGGUUGGCGCACGGUUCGAAGGCAAGCGGGCGUGCGCUUGCUUCACCCACUCCCCAUCUCUGGACACCGAAGUUGGGUCCCUCACCAGUCUUUCAGAAAGCCACUGAGCGAAUGUUCACAUCUCACGCCCUCGACCUGCUGUCCAAGAAGCGGCCGUGUCCGUGUACGCAUGCCUACGUGCGCAUCUGCCUGGGGUUGGGAUUGCAUGCGUGCACGUGUCCGGAGCCGACCCUCUUGCGGCGUAAGUCCCCGUUUUCCCCAGUGUUCAGCCUCUGCGAGCACCUCUUUCUGUUGUGCUGCGUGCGUGUGUGGGUGUGUGCAGUAGUAAAGGAUGGAAGGGCCCUGUGGGAGAAAGGAGCAGCGCAUCUUCUCACCAUCCGAUUCCAUCCCCUAUCAGCACACUGACCCACCCACUCCCACACCUCACGGUGAGGGCACUCCUUUGUUCAUUACAGCGCUAACUCAAACGAGACUCAUCAUCACCAUUUCCGUCAACUCACCUGAGACCACUUCUUCUUUCGCAUGAUCGGCUUCGCCAGCACCGCUUGCCGCCAUCCGUCAACAGCAGCGCACUCGACGUCAACAU
rnacentral:misc_RNA from 1 species